CUAAUUAAAUGAAUUGGGUUGGAUAAGAAUUAAAGGUAUUGGACUAUGUAUAGCUCAAGUGUGGCCAAAGAAGUGAGUAAGAGACCAAGUAAUACAUUAAAGGAAUGGCUCAAUUUUUAACCCAAGUGGGAGAGGAAUUUUUGGACAUUUGUCAACUCAAAUAAGAGGUAAAAUAGAAAGCAAAUUGGGAGCAUUUUUAGGCCACAUGGCCGACCAAAAGAGAAGCAAUAACAAAGGGGGGAUGAAUUUAAUAAGUGUUCACUUUAGUUGUUGAACCACUUUCACCAACUCUCCAUGUGUCCCUUGGUUAUUUUGUCCAACACUUUGUUCAUUAAUCUUGCAAGCAACCACUUGGAUAUUGCUAAGGGGAAAGAAAGAGAGAAUUAGUGGGAGAGUAAGGCCAUAUGGCCGGACCAUGCUCUAGAUGAAAAGGAGAUUUGGAGAUAACAAAAUAUAUCUAUAGAUUUUCCAACACUUAGAUGAUAUUUUUCCCUUUCAUCACUUUUAUUAUUCUUGCUAGAACACAAGAAAAAGAGAGAGGGAAAGAGAAGAGGAGGCCAUGUUCGGCCAUCCUAAGAGGAGAAGGAGGAGAUUUUGAUGUUCAUACAAUCAAGAUCCAUCUACAUCUUUGAAGGAGAGAAGGAAAUCAAGUUAAGGUAUAACAAAAAUUUCUACUUGUGUAGGCUAAAUUUUCUUGGUGUUUUUGAUUUGAUUUUUGACAACUUGAAGUUGUGAUCUUGAGGUUUAAAACCUUAGAUCUAUGUAUAUAUAAGUGUCUCAUGUUUAGAUCUAACAAUAUUGGGUGUUGAUUUUGGUUGGAAUCAAAGGUAUAAAAUUUCCUAAACUCAAAACUCUAGUUAGUUUAUGUGUUUUGUGAUGGUUGUUUUUCACCAAGUGUUGAACUUAUGAUCCAUAUGAGGGAAGAUCUACAUGAUAUAUGAUAUUUUAUGGUUAGAUCUUCCCAUUUUUAGGGUUGAUAAGCUUGAACAAAGAAGAUGAACCAAAACAGUUUUUUUGUUUUAAAUGAAUUAGUGAACUGCUGCUCUAAACAGAAAAUUUCGGAUUUGUUAGGGUGAUCUAAAAAUUCUGGAC
rnacentral:lncRNA from 1 species